AUAAAUUCAUAUAUACAGUGGCAGACGUAGCCAAGUAUACAAAAUAUUCUACAAUGACAUGUGGGUCCCAAAAUAACCAAAAUAAACACAAUUGUAAACCUGCGAUUUCUAAGGGUGCGAAUCCAACAGCAAACCCUCGACAAAAUCGACGGUCUAAAGAUUUCCUUGAGCCUGAAAUGUGUGAAAGGAGGGUGGUGAGUUUUUAUAAACCCAGUGAGUAAGCAAAGUCCAUCUAGAACAUCUAAAGCCGAGUAAGUGGAGACAAUUUAAAAUAUCUCAUCAUAAUAGGAUUCAUAGCAUCAAAUCUCAUUUCAUUUCAUAUAAAUCAAUUUGGCUUAUGAUUCUCGUAAAAACUUGGCUCUUGCCAAGAUUUGCACUUAGUGACACCUUACGUCGGGGCAUCCAACCGAGUCCGCCAAGGUUGUUAACAUAACAUAUUAGUAUAAAA
rnacentral:lncRNA from 1 species